ensembl:lncRNA
CUGAACGGUCAGAAACGUGUUAGAUGAUACUCUUCUGCUUAUUUAUCAAUGCUGCAAACCUCUGUAUUUCUAGAAGUGAGCUGGUCUUUAAGCAUAUCUGUAUGGGAACUGUUGAGUCAUGGCCUGAACCACUGAUUGAGCACCUGGAGGAAAGACCCAGCCAGCCCUGGGAGCACAGGUGAAGGCAAUUCACCUGUGCAACCAGAAGGGGUGGAGCCAGGCUCCACCCCUCUUAGGCCUCAUCUAAGGGCUGACUGCCCUGAGGAAGGAUCUCUUCCUGGAGAUCCCUCCUUGGUGGGGGCCUUUCCCUGCGAGCCCAAAAUCUUCCCAUCUGGGUGAGUGCUUUAUUUUCCUUCCACCUUCUUGUAAAGCAAUUUCCAUCGCGUUAGUCCUUUUGAUUGCUACAGUAUCAAAAAAAAAAAAGGAGAAAAAAGUAUUAAAAAAAGGACUAUUCCCAGCUGUGAAUACCACUAGAAAAGCUAGAAUCUCUUGAAAAAUAUAUUUCUUUUGUGAUUUCUGAACUUGUGGUGAUACAGGCUGAGGGAAGCAGCGUGCUGCAGCAGGAGCACGAGCACGAGCAUGGGACCCGGGUGGUCCUAGGACUGAAUCCCAGUUGUGCUGCACCUGGCAAAGCUGGCUCAUCUCCAGCCAGCCCCUGACCUCCUUUUACUGCCCCUUUGUGUUUGUGGACACAAGAUUGUUUCUAUAUGUGUACUUAAGGGUGCUUAUCAGAAUGUCACCAGUUUAGACUGAUGUCCUUAGGCUUGAUCAGAAUUCAAAUAAUUACUCUUUGAAGUUUGAUUAUUGUUAACUGUAACCAUGAAGAUGUCUUUCUCUGAAGAAAUCCUAUUCUUUCUAUUUUAGGUUUCUGACUUUGUCUGGAGCAAUGACAUAGAUGGCCGUAGAUGUUUCUCAGCACUGGGGCCUGCUUUCCUCAGCCAAACUCACCUUAACAUCACAGAAAAUUGGCAGAAAACACAGGGUCCCACAGAUGUAUGUCAUAUGGCUAGGACCUAGGUGCCACACAGCGGUGCUCUUGACUCCAUGUUGCUCAAAGGCCUGUGCUGGCUGGAGGGAGUUAAAGCAGCAAGCCUACCAGAACUGGCUUUGGAAGGAGGGCUAAGACUCAGCUCUGCAAAGAAGGUGAACCAUCCAGUGGGAUGAGGCAUUUUCUUGCCCGACUGAUCUACUAAGUCAGAUAUGGAAAGAAUCACAGAAAUGAAGGGACCUCAAGAGAGCAUUGAGUCCAAACUCCUGCUAAAGCAGGUACAAAGAAAUAUAUAAUGACAGCUUACAAAAAUCCCAAGUUUUUAUUUUUGUAGCUAUUGUUCCUUCCCAUUUCCUCUGUUUUCUUCUGUCUGUAGAAGAUUCAUCCCGGUUCAUAUCUCAGCAUCCUCCCGGAAUCAGGGACAGAUACAUUUCUCUGGGUCAGUCAUGAAUAUGAAGAGAAGUAAGGCAGAUGGAGAGGAGAUGCACCUUCUCCAUGUAAGGAGAGGACCACACAAAAUUAAGAACAGCCAUGGUGGACCCAGGUAGGAACCCCAUUCUUGGGGGCAGUCAGCAGUGGCACUGGCCUAAUGUCAGUUGAAAUAUCCCUUUUUCUCUCAAGAAAAGCUCUGUAUCUAGUGUACAUCUUCACCUGUAUCAAGGCUAUGGCUCAGUGAAAUCACCAAGAAUGAUUUAAUUGACUUUUGUGUACUUUUAAUCUAAUCCUCUGAACUGUAGCAUUCUGAUAGCCAAUGUUUAGCCUUAUUCAUUUAGGAGUUCAGUUCACCUCUCACUGAGAAUUUCUGAAAGCCUUACUGAAAAAUGGAUUGGGCAUUUAGCUAUUUAUGAGAAUCUUGCUUUUAAACUGUGAGAAGAUAUCUUUUUAAUUAAUCCUCACAGAAAACAAUUGAAUGCUUGACCUACAAGGAUAAUUACUUGUGUUCUGCUUUGAUUACUUUGUAAAAGUUUUAUUGGAUUUAUAUAGUGUACUGCAUAAUAUGUGAUCUAAAAUUGGAGCUCUUUACUACAGCAUGGAGUGGAGCUUUAUACUGCAGCAUAAACUUUAUAGAAUUGACAACCAUGUUGUCUAUAUAAAAACAUCAUUCUGUAAUUAGUCUUAUUAGUAUAAUUUUUUA